UACGAAGGGGGCUAGCGUUGCUCGGAAUCACUGGGCGUAAAGCGCACGUAGGCGGCUUUCUAAGUCAGGGGUGAAAUCCUGGAGCUCAACUCCGGAACUGCCUUUGAUACUGGAGAGCUUGAGUCCGGAAGAGGUGAGUGGAACUCCGAGUGUAGAGGUGAAAUUCGUAGAUAUUCGGAAGAACACCAGUGGCGAAGGCGGCUCACUGGUCCGGUACUGACGCUGAGGUGCGAAAGCGUGGGGAGCAAACAGG
rnacentral:rRNA from 1 species